rnacentral:lncRNA from 1 species
CCACCUCACCAUCACUCCACCCAUCAAAAACUUUCAUUUCUCUCCCUCGUCCCUCUUUUCUAUGUCUCCAUCGAGAAACCAUCAUCGAUCAGAUUUGGAAGUUCAAAAGGCCAGGACUUUGAUGACAGUAAUAUUACUGUAAACGAAGCUCAGUCCCGUAGGUGCUGGAUUCUGUAGCGAACAUUGUGAGGGACGUCAUGGAGGUUGACGCGUUGGUGCAGGCUAUGGUCAUCGUGAGGGAGAUUUCUUUUCUAUAAACUCAUCUUUUCGCCACCACCAUGCCCACCGCCACACCAUCGGUAUGAUGGACACCGCUGCUAUCUGUCUGUGGAUGGGUGGCAGGGGUUGGUUUGAGUGGCCGAUUUAGAUGUUCCAAUUGAUCAAUCAGGAUGUUGGAUAUUUCUAUUGGCUGUGCGAAUCAACAUUGUUGAUCUUGGUUUUUAGUUGGUAGGUGGGGUGCUUCUUGGAUGGAGUGGCACAAUGGAAAUGGUAGUUUGUAAUUGGUUAACUGGGCUACUGAUUUGAGAUAUGAGGGCUACUGAUUUUAGGUGAUGGCGAUGCUUUUAGGCUAUGGUGGUGGUGGUGGUGGCGGUGGUCGUUGUUGUCGGGUUGAUUGUGAAGUAGUGGUGGUUCGUGGUGGGUGGUAUUGGUUUUGCACAGAUCUGGUUGGUAGUGGGUUUUUUUUUUUCCACUCCCCAAAUGGUAGUGAUGGUGAGAAGGCUCUGGUGAGAUAAUCCCUAAAGUUUUUGGUGUUGGUUGUGGCAGGGUUGGUGAGGAGGUGGUGGCGACUCA